AAUAAGUGAUAUUUUUCACUGUUUACGUCCAACGUUUGACCGUUCGUCUUAUUUGGAAAAAAAAUUUAUAAUUAGUAUUUUUAUUGUUAUUUUCAUAGUACUUUAUGUGUGACUAUUUUUUUUUCAAAAAAAAAUUUAAAUAAAACGAACGGUCAAACGCUGGACACGGAUAUCCACAACUGCACUUAUU
rfam:Oryza glumipatula chromosome 2, whole genome shotgun sequence.